AUCAGCAAAAGCCUUAUCUGAAAUCCUCCCGUGUCAGACAGAAUAUUUCCACUGGCUGGAUGUAACAGUGAAUGCAGAUCUGGGAUCUAGUCUCAAUCCAAAUCGGAGUGCAGCAAUCAACCACUCAACUCCAGAACUCUCCCUGGUGACACGGGAUUUCAAACUGCAACCUCACAUUGGAAAUCUCUGCAUCCAAUUACCACUUAUCAGAGGCCACCAAUCUCUUAAACUUUAAUGGUUAAAGAAAACUCAAGUGCUUGGUUUACAAAGGCAAUAAACACCUUAAUGCUUUCAUCUUUGUUUUCUCUAGGAAAUUAUUUAAGAAGAAAACCCUCAAACAGUGAUCUCAGCAUUCAUACAGGAGUGAACUUCAGAUACAGUAAUUGCAUAGCUGUGAGCUAUGACGACUUUCCCAUGGGGGAGAAAUGACCUGGUAAUUCAAGAAUGACAAAGUCAAAAGUAAGAGGGCCAUGCAUCCCUGGAGCUGGUUUUAUGGAAGCAAGAACAAAGUUGUGCCCUGGCAUUUCAUUCCCAUGGAGCAGAUGCAGAACAGAGCAUCUAAAACAACACUGCU